CCCUCCGUAUCCAUCAUAGUAUGAUGGUCCACAACACAUUGCUGGCUGCCCUUGCGGCAUCAUCGGGAUCGCCUGCGGCUGCUUCGGGGCAGGAGCGGGUNNNNNNNNNNGGCUGCUUCGGGGCAGGAGCUGGUGCUGGUGCUGGCGCUGGUGCUGGAGCCGGUGCGGGUUUGGCCGCGGCUGCUGGCUUCUCGGGUUCUUUAGGCUUUUCGGGUUGCUUCGGCUUCUCGGGUUCUUUAGGCUUUUCCGGUUGCUUUGGUUUUUCGGGUUCUUUAGGCUUUUCAGGCUGCUUAGGCUUCUCAGGUUCCUUAGGCUUCUCGGGGGCUUUAGGCUUCUCAGGAUCUUUAGGCUUCUGAGGAGCUGGUUGUGGCUGAGGCUGAGGAGGCUUUGGUGGCUCAACGAUCUCGAUGGUCUUAAUAGAGCCGCCGCCUUUGGAGCAGAGUUUGUCCAUGAUCCUCUCAGGACUACAGCAAACGACCUUGAUGAUGACAAUGUUGGACUUUUCAUCGAACAAUUGGUCUCUUAUUUCUCUUGUUCCCAAUCACACAAGCAUAAAAAUCCACUCAGUCCAUUUCCAACUCCCACCAUAUAAUUCACCAAAUAAAAACAAAACAAAAAACACUAGAAAAGAUAGUGUAAGAGAAAACUCACGAGGGAAUUUGCAAAGAACCUUCUUGACUUUCUUGUAACACUUGGCACAAUCAAGAUCAACCUUCAACUUCAUCAUAGUAAC
rnacentral:lncRNA from 1 species